rnacentral:rRNA from 1 species
GACGAACGCUGGCGGCGUGCUUAACGCAUGCAAGUCGAACGGAAAGGCCCCUUCGGGGGUACUCGAGUGGCGAACAGGUGAGUAACACGUGAGUAACCUGCCCUUGACUUCGGGAUAACUUCAGGAAACUGGGGCUAAUACCGGAUAGGAAUCAUUGCUGCAUGGUGGGGGUUGGAAAGCUUCGGCGGUUUUGGAUGGACUCGCGGCUUAUCAGCUUGUUGGUGGGGUAGUGGCUUACCAAGGCUUUGACGGGUAGCCGGCCUGAGAGGGCGACCGGCCACAUUGGGACUGAGAUACGGCCCAGACGCCUACGGGAGGCAGCAGUGGGGAAUAUUGCACAAUGGGCGGAAGCCUGAUGCAGCAACGCCGCGUGCGGGAUGACGGCCUUCGGGUUGUAAACCGCUUUCAGCAGGGGCGAAGCUUGUGGUGACGGUACCUGCAGAAGAAGCACCGGCUAACUACGUG